UUUGGCGAGGGCGGGGGGUGGGGGCUGCCCGACGAACGGCACUCUGUGCGCAGGCGCACCUUCCCCAGACCCGGCUCCGCGUCUUAAGUCAGUGGGAGGUGAGAAAAGCCAGCCCGUGGUCCUAGACUGUGGGAAACCCAGGCGUGGGAAGCAUGAGGGGAGGAGUAUCACCGCGGGCGCCCAAGGCCGGUUUGUGGGAGUAAGGACGGGGAGAAACAGAAGUUGUGCCCAGACAUGAGGAAGACGUCCAGAUGUCUCACCGCGGCGAUGCGCGCCGCCAGGAUGAGUGGGACGUUCCGGAGCUUCGCCACGGAGUGCUGCGUAGAUGGCGGUGGGGCCAUGGCCCAGAGACCUAUGUUAGGUGAAAAACUGGGUUCUGCUUAAGAUUUUUGUCAUUUAUUACUAUGGAAUCUUUUAAAGGUUGCCAAAGGAUGUGAAUGGAUGGAGAGAAUAAACUGUGAAGGAAAACAGCUUUUAAGAGCAACGUUUCUCAAAUUAGGUUCCACAGAUGGGAAGGAUCCUCAAGUUCCCUGCCAGACUGUUUAAACUUUGCGUUUUAAGUCCAUGGACAAAUUAAUUCUACAUCAUCUAUAUGACUUCUUAAUUUCAGAGCCCAAGCAUGUUUUUUGUUCCUGUUAGUCUUCCUUUAAUUGUGUGGACCAAUGAGAAACUAACAGAGUUAGAAUAUGUCAAAGGAAAACAAAAGGUACACUAUAGAAAAGUUUUUGCAGUUGUUAGAAUAAAGUAAUAAAGGAUUUGUCUUUUGUUCCUGAUCACAAAUUCCUAAAUGGUUGGGGCCGGUGCGGGGCUGGGGGAGGCUCCCCUUACCAACACCACCAAGCAUUUCUCUGACACCAGCUGGGUAUUCUGCAAUUCAGCUCAGUGCUGACACUAUCUACCUGGAGAUAGCCACAGGUUAAGGCUCAGUCGUACAAGACUGCCCCCGGCCCCACCACACACACAACUUCAGACACCAGUCUCAAGCCCAGUUUUGUUACCUGUGCUUCUGAUCGACCGAAUACAAACUGGAGGUUCCUACGACCACCUGCAACUCAGGAUGCCAAUUGCAAGUCCAGAUUGUCACCUGAACUUCUGACCAACCAGCUAUGGAUCAGAGGUUCCCACAACUCCCUCCUCAGGUUUAAUUAAUUUGCUAGAGUGGCUCACAGAACUCAGAGAAACAUCUUACUUCCUAGAUUACUGGUUAAUUAUAAAAGGAUUCAACUCAGGAGCAUCCAGAUGCAAGAGAUGCACAGGGCAAGGCAUGGGGAAAGGGGACAGAGCUUCCAUGCCCUCCCUGAGCUCUCACCAAGCGUCCACACGUUCACCAACCAGAAGCUCUCCAAACCCCGUCUUUUUUCUCUUUUGGGUUUUCAUGGAGACCUCCUUACACAGGCCUGAUUGACUAAAUCAUUGGCCAUUGGUGACUGAUUCAGCCUCCAGCCCCUCUCCCCUCUCCGGAGGUCAGGAGGUGGGACUGAAAUUUCCAACACUCCGGUGUUUGGUUACACUGGUAGCCAGCCCCCAUUCUUUUUUUUUUUUUUUUGCGGUACGUGGGCCUCUCCCCGCUGUGGCCUCUCCCGUUGCGGAGCACAGGCUCCGGAGGCUCCGGACGCGCAGGCUCAGUGGCCAUGCCUCACGGGCGCAGCCGCUCCGCGGCAUGUGGGAUCUUCCCGUACCGGGGCACGAACCCGUGUCCCCUGCAUUGGUAGGCGGACUCUCAACCACUGAGCCACCAGGGAAGCCCCAGCCCCCAUUCUUAUGUGCAUUCCGAAAGUCACCUCAUUAACAUAGGAGGACACCUUUAUUGCUCUCUGGUCUUUGUAAAUUACUAGCAUUUUAGGAGCUCUGUGCCAGAAACAGGGUCAAAGACCAAAUAAGUAUUGCUUUUAUAAAUCACAAUAUCACAAUAUGAAGUAUCAAAAAGCCCAAUAGGAUUGGUAAGUCAUGCUGGCCUCAAAAAAAAACCAUCUUUAAGACUAUCAUAGUGUGUUGACGGUGAUGAUUGGUUUCAGCAAAACAUCUAUCACAUUAAAGUCAAUUUAAUUUGUAUUUAAACUGAAGUUAGUUUAUCUUGUAUUUGACAUUUUGAUGUUUUGUUUAAAAGGUAUAAGCCGUAUUCUAUUUUUGUAUAUUUAGGUAUAUAACGUUAUAAUAAAGAUAUGUGGGUUUUUUCCCCUAGUAUAAUGGAUAUAAA